AAUGAAUGUUGGCGGCGUGGAUUAGGCAUGCAAGUCGAGCGAGAAUCGUAGCAAUACGAGGACAGCGGCGAAAGGGAGAGGAAUACGUAGAAAUCUACCCAUGAGACCGGGAUAGCGUCGGGAAACUGGCAGUAAUACCGGAUAAUGUCUUAGGACCAAAGGUUUGAUUCCACUUGGGGAUGAGUCUACGCCCUAAUAGCUAUUUGGUGGGGUAAUGGCCUACCAAGGGGAUGAUGGGUAGCGGGUGAGAGAGCAUGACCCGCCUCACUGGGACUGAGAACUGCCCAGACACCUACGGGUGGCUGCAGUCGAGAAUCUUUGUCAAUGGACGAAAGUCUGAACAAGCGACGCCGCGUGCGGGGUGAAGGCCUUCGGGUUGUAAACCGCUGUCGUAGGGGAACAAAUGUACGGGGGUACUCCCCUGUAUUUGAGUGAUCCUAGGAGGAAGGAGAGGCUAAGCUCG
rnacentral:rRNA from 1 species